AGUGGGAUAAUUGGGUCAAAUGGUGGGCCCAUUACAAUUUUUCUAAGAAAUCUCUAUACUACUUUCCAAAGUUUUUGCACCAGUUUGCAAUUCUACCAACAAU
rnacentral:pre_miRNA from 1 species